GAGUCUGCACUUCUUGAAUUCUCAUAUUUUCUUUCAGAGACCCUAAAGAAAAUACCCAUCCUAAUAUUGCCCCUUAUAUUUUUUGGAGGGGGGAGAUCAGGUUAAUAUCAAUAUUCCAGUUCACAAUAGUAUUUUACCUGAUACUAAGUCUUUGUUUCUUUUCUUGCAUGUUGUCCUUGUUUUUUCUAUUUUUCUUAGCUUUACUAAGUAGGCAGUAUACAGCAGGGGCCAUUUUCUUGGAGUAAAAAAAUAGUAAGGAAAUCUACAGACUUAGAGAUGUUCAGGGUACAAUCUCUCACAGAUAGACUACAAAGAAAUGACCUUGUGAGGCUUGGUAUGAGCUAAUAAUGGUAUUCUGAUCAUCAGAAUCCCAUUCCCAUUGUUCUGCAUGUGGAGUGAAGAAAGGUCCUGCUGCACAUGGCUUUGAAUGCCUGUAUGGAGAGUGAUCACCAUGUGGGAUUCGGAGAGUGAGAUGAGCAAGAUGCAAUGGAGGACAGAUGGCAUGGGGUGUGGAAGCCAAAAAGCCAUGGCAGAACCAUUCUAACCCCUCCUCAUAAACAAUCUAUCCAGAAAGAAAGUUAUUAUAGGAAGAAAUGUGGACAACUGGUCAUAGAGUCACAGAGGACCACGGAAACAGUUACUCCUCUAUCAAUCCCUCAUGACUAUAAUAUGUGCUAUGCAAACACAGUUGAAGUCUUUAUGAGGAGCCUUUGAUGUGACAGAACUUCUGACAACUCAGACUUGUGCUGCGUUUCCUUGGUGUUGUCUCUGUGGGCGCUGAUUUGCCUUCUCGCUGCCUCUGAGUGAUGUUACUCACUUUUGUCAGGUGG
rnacentral:lncRNA from 1 species